UCGAAUAAUUCGAAUAAUUCGAAUAUCAAACUAUAAUAUUUUACAGUUUUACCCUAAACUCCCAAACUUUUUUACUUUUCCCUCAAAACUUUUACUCCUUCCCACUUUUCCCCCAAAACUUUUACUCCCCUCCCCUCCCAAUCCCCCAAUCUACCCAAAAUCCAUUUCCCACCAAAAUUUUACUCUUCCAUUCAUUUUUGUUUCAAAAUUUUACUCUCAAAAACCCUAAAAACUUUUUAUUUUCCCCCAAAAUUUUUACUCCCUCCCACUUUUCCUCUAAAACUUUUAUUCUCUUCCCAUCCCACCUCCCAUCUACCCCAAACCCUCCCCC
rnacentral:lncRNA from 1 species